GUGCCCUGCCUGUGAUGAAGCCUUUGUUGGUAGGGACAUCUGAAGAGUGUUGAAGAAUGCCAACGGCUCUGAAGGCGGCCG
rfam:Ictidomys tridecemlineatus contig014985, whole genome shotgun sequence.